CCCAAGGACACGACCUCCUCUAUGUAGGAAGCCCUGAGAACUCACUAUUAUCAGUGAGGGGAACCCUGGGGACAAGCCCUGUUCUGUGAGGUAAGACCUGUGGACCUGCUCUUUACUGUGAGGGGAACCACUGGGACCUGCCCUUCUCUGUGAAGGCAGUCUCAGAGACCCAAACUUUUCUGUGAUGGGAGCCCUAGGGACCUGACCUCCUCCGUGAAGGAAGCCCUAAGGACACGCCCUUUACUGUGAGGGGAACCCUGGGGACCUGCCCUUCUCUGUGAGGGGAGCCCCCAGAUCGGCCUUCUUUAGUAAGGGAAGCCCUAGGGAUCCACCAUCCUCUGUGAGGGGAAUUGAAACCUGCCCUCAUCUGUGAGGGAAACUCUGAGGACCUGCCCUCCUCUAUCAGGGGAGCCCUGAGGACCCACGCUUUUGUCUAAGGGGAACCCCAAAGACUCGACCUCUUCUGUGAAGAAAGGAUCCACCAUUUUCAGUGAGGGGAACCCUGGAGACCAGCCCUCUUCUGUGAGGAAGGACCUGGGGACCCACCCUUUACUGGGAAAAGAACCCUGAGGACCCACCUGCCUCUGUCAGGGGAGCCCUGGGGACCUGCUCUACGUUAAAUGAAUAGCUGCAAACAGAGCUCAAGUUGUCAUCCCUGUGGGAGUGGGAUUAUGUCUCCUGGAACUCUAUGGAGGUCAAACAUAUGGUCUCCCAGAAAACCAACACCAACUCCAAGCUUAGUCCACACGCUCCAGGUAGGCUCUGGGGCCCUCUGGUUCAAGGCGCCUGGAGCAAUCAGCCCUUCAGAUACCCCUGGAGAUGGUGAUUACUUCAUGGCACAUCUUGUAACCCAAGCCGGUCCCAUGAGAAUGUCCCCAGGAUGAGCACAGGUGCUACUGAGAGCAAUGACUUUUUCCCAGUGGACUGGAUGCUGGGGGGAUGGGGAGAUGGUGCCUUUUUAAAUCCUUUAUCCAAAAGCUGAAGCCCGAGACCUAGGCUGGGAAGCCGGGUCAAGAGAUAGACAUGAAGCUCCAGUGACUUUUUUUUCUGAGUCCCUGGAUCAAACCACACCUGAA
rnacentral:lncRNA from 1 species